GACGAACGCUGGCGGCGUGCUUAACACAUGCAAGUCGAACGAAGAGCGAUGGAAGCUUGCUUCUAUCAAUCUUAGUGGCGCACGGGUGAGUAACGCGUAAUCAACCUGCCCUUCAGAGGGGGACAACAGUUGGAAACGACUGCUAAUACCGCAUACGAUCUAACCUCGGCAUCGAGGAUAGAUGAAAGGUGGCCUCUACAUGUAAGCUAUCACUGAAGGAGGGGAUUGCGUCUGAUUAGCUAGUUGGAGGGGUAACGGCCCACCAAGGCGAUGAUCAGUAGCCGGUCUGAGAGGAUGAACGGCCACAUUGGGACUGAGACACGGCCCAGACUCCUACGGGAGGCAGCAGUGGGGAAUCUUCCGCAAUGGACGAAAGUCUGACGGAGCAACGCCGCGUGAGUGAUGACGGCCUUCGGGUUGUAAAGCUCUGUUAAUCGGGACGAAAGGCCUUCUUGCGAAUAGGGAGAAGGAUUGACGGUACCGGAAUAGAAAGCCACGGCUAACUACGUG
rnacentral:rRNA from 1 species